GAGGUGGAGAUAGAGGUGGACGUGGAGGUGGAGAUCAGGUGGAGGUGGAGAUGGAGGAGGAGGUAGAGAUGAGGUUGAGAUAGAGGUGGAGAUGAGGUGGAGAUGGAGAUGGAGAUGAGGUAGAGAUGGAGAUAGAGGUGGAGAUGGAGAUGGAGAUGAGGUAGAGAUGGAGAUAGAGGUGGAGAUGAGGUAGAGAUGAAGGUGGAGAUGGAGGUGGAUGUGGAGAAGGAGGUAGAAAUGAGGUUGAGAUAGAGGUGGAGAUGAGGUGGAGAUAGAGGUGGGAAUAGAGGUGGGAAUAGAGGUGGAGAUAGAGGUGGAGAUGGAGAUGAGGGGGAGAUAGAGGUGGAGAUGGAGGUGGAGAUAGAGGUGGAGAUGAGGGGGAGAUGAGGAGAAGAUAGAGGUGGGAAUAGAGGUGGGAAUAGAGGUGGAGAUGGAGGUGGAGAUGGAGAUGGAGAUGAGGGGGAGAUAGAGGUGGAGAUAGAGGUGGAGAUGGAGGUGGAGAUAGAGGUGGGAAUAGAGGUGGAGAUGGAGGUGGAGAUGGAGGUGGAGAUGGAGGUGUGAGAAAGAGUGAACAUCAAAGUGUGAGUGGAUGUAGCCCUGCGAAGCUCAGAGUUUCAGCCCCUGUGACCCCUAAUGAGGGAUAUCAGCUCUCGCCACUGGCCCAUACUAAUGAGCUAAUGAGCGGGGGGUGCCGCACCUCUGGCCGCACCUCUGGCCGCAACUACUCCAUUAAUCAGACUGGAGAAACAGCCAUCAGC
ensembl:lncRNA